UCCUGUUCCAGUCAGUGAACUACUGUAGGCUUUCUGCUGUGCUGUUCCCGCUGCUGACCUCAGUGGGGUUCUGGUCUUCUCCCCAUCAACUCCUACAUGGCCGUGCAGUUUCUGGGAAGGCUCAGCGGCAAACAGAGGCCCUCUCCAGCUUCCUGCAAUUACAUCUUCUCCUGGCUCUGAUUUAAGGGUUUGUUACUCCUUCUUCACGGUGUACAGCAGCUAGUCACACAGCAUGACCUCUCGCCAGACAGUGCUCAAAGUCCUCUUUCAAUCUAGUCCAGGCAUCAGGCAACCUCAGAGAAGAGACUCCCUGGCUGUGCACAGUAACAUUAUGCCAUUUACGUGGAGAUCGAACUCUGUAUGCAAAGCAGAAAAUGAAUACUAACAAGCUACUGGGUUUGAACUUCAAAAGGAUCUAUUUUAUUUAGAAUAAGGAAGCGUGAAUGGACUACGCAUUCCAUGUGCGCCUCAAACACACGAAGUGGAAAUGACGUAAACGGGCGCUAACACAAUCUACAUCCACCAAGGAGUCCAAGUCUACGAUGCGGCUCACGGACUUAGAAACUGGAAAUGGAUGUGACGCAGGUGAGGCGCAUGCAUUCCACCUUUAAAAGACAUGAAACCGGAAGCUAGAUGACGCAUGCAUUCCACAUGCGUUCCAAUAACAGAAAAGCACAGUCUUAAUAGUUUUAUACAUCAUAUAAGCUGUAUUGUGUAUUGUAUUCUCUUUUGUACCAUUCUGUAACUAUGUAUAAUCCUCGAGACAUAUUUAUGUUACCACUCUGUAUGUAUUUAGGAUUAACAUCAAGACUAAGACAUAUGUCUAACUGGAAGAGAUUUUCACUGACUUUCUGUCUGUCUAACAGGAAGUGAUUUUCACUGACUUCGUGUCUGUCUAACAUGAAGUGAUUCUCAUUGACUUCCUGUCUGUCUAACAGGAAGUGAGUCUCAUUGACUUCCUGUUUGUUUGUUUGUUUGAUUCCCCUAUAAAUAUCUGACAAGGGUCAGUUAAUUUUAUCCCCUUGAAGAAGUCUGACAUCCAGACGAAACACGUAGGGACUUACCUCAUGACUAUAUCCAUAUGAUUGGACAGAUAAGCUCAUUUAUGUUUUACUCUUUGUACGUUUGAUACCAAACAUUUGCCUGCUGAUCUUAACUAUUUUUUUUUUUACUUGUGUGUGCAUAUAUAUAA